rnacentral:lncRNA from 1 species
CCCUUUAGAGGGCGCUUUGUUUCCACAAGCGCCCUCUAAGGUGAAACGAAAAAAUAAGGAGGAGAUAGAGGGACAACAAUACAUGGAGCUUUUUAGAAAGCGCCCUCUAAGGUUACCCUUAGAGGGCGCUUUUAAUAAAGCGCUGUUAUAAGUCCACGUGCAUUUCCAGCUUAUAAAGCGCUUCUGGAAAGCCUUAGAGAGCGCUUUC